rnacentral:rRNA from 1 species
AGGGGGACAACAGUUGGAAACGACUGCUAAUACCGCAUAAUGUAUUCGGAAGGCAUCUUCUGAAUACCAAAGGAGAAAUCCGCUGAGGGAUGGGCUCACGUCUGAUUAGUUAGUUGGUGAGGUAACGGCUCACCAAGACUGCGAUCAGUAGCCGGACUGAGAGGUUGAACGGCCACAUUGGGACUGAGAUACGGCCCAGACUCCUACGGGAGGCAGCAGUGGGGAAUAUUGGGCAAUGGGCGAAAGCCUGACCCAGCAACGCCGCGUGAAGGAAGAAGGCCUUCGGGUUGUAAACUUCUUUUAAGAGGGACGAAGAAGUGACGGUACCUCUUGAAU